AGAAUGAACGCUGGCGGCAUGCCUAACACAUGCAAGUCGAACGAAGCCUUCGGGCUUAGUGGCGCACGGGUGCGUAACGCGUGGGAAUCUGCCCUUGGGUUCGGAAUAACAGCGAGAAAUUGCUGCUAAUACCGGAUGAUGACGUAAGUCCAAAGAUUUAUCGCCCAAGGAUGAGCCCGCGUAGGAUUAGCUAGUUGGUGAGGUAAAGGCUCACCAAGGCGACGAUCCUUAGCUGGUCUGAGAGGAUGAUCAGCCACACUGGGACUGAGACACGGCCCAGACUCCUACGGGAGGCAGCAGUGGGGAAUAUUGGACAAUGGGCGAAAGCCUGAUCCAGCAAUGCCGCGUGAGUGAUGAAGGCCUUAGGGUUGUAAAGCUCUUUUACCCGGGAUGAUAAUGACAGUACCGGGAGAAUAAGCUCCGGCUAACUCCGUGCCAGCAGCCGC
rnacentral:rRNA from 1 species